rnacentral:rRNA from 1 species
AUUGAACUCUGGCGGCAGGCCUAACCCCUGCACGUCGAACGAGUGGCGGACGGGUGAGUAAUGUCUGGGAAACUGCCUGAUGGAGGGGGAUAACUACUGGAAACGGUAGCUAAUACCGCAUACCAUCGGAUGUGCCCAGAUGGGAUUAGCUAGUAGGUGGGGUAAAGGCUCCCCUAGGCGACGAUCCCUAGCUGGGCUGAGAGGAUGACCAGCCAAACUGGAACUGAGAAACGGUCCAGACUCCUACGGGAGGCAGCAGUGGGGAAGAUUGCACCAUGGGCGAAAGCCUGAUGCAGCCAUGCCGCGUGUAUGAAGAAGGCCUUCGGGUUGUAAAGUACGUUCAGCGGGGAGGCGUUACCCGCAGAAGAAGCACCGGCUAACUCCGUGCCAGCCGCCGCGGUAAUAC